GGGCGUGUGAGUGGUGUUUGGUUUGCCGGGAUGGUAGGCUCCGUGCUAGCGCAUCGAACUAUCGGCCCGCUUUCCACUUCGCGGAUUCGGCUGCAUCGAAAUUAUGGCGUUCCUGUAUUCAAUACCCACGACGGCGGAAAUCAAUUGGUAGCGAUGAGUUUUUUCCGCUCGGCGCCCAUUCGUUGGGCGCGGGUGGACCACACGGCUCUGGCCCGUUUUUCCUAGCAAGCUCGUCGGGCUGCCAAGGAAAUUAUUGGGUCCGGGCUCGUGCUCUCGGAUGCGGAAGACCGUGAGGCCGGAGGGGAAUUCAUCCUUUCUAUAGGGCCGAUAAGAGAAUGUCCCUCGAUACGAACGACAACCUUCGACCGCAGCGUUUUCCGCUCGCUCCUACGGAGCUCGUGGGAACCGCGCGGCGCGGGUGUCGCGGAAGGAAUGCUACCUGGUUGAUCCUGCCAGUAGUCAUAUGCUUGUCUCAAAGAUUAAGCCAUGCAUGGGA
rnacentral:misc_RNA from 1 species